CGACCCCUAAGGCGAGGCCGAAAGGCGUAGUCGAUGGGAAAUUGGUUAAUAUUCCAAUACUUCUGUGUAAUGCGAUGAGAGGACGGAGAAGGUUAAGUCAGCCUGGCGUUGGUUGUCCAGGUGGAAGGAAGUAGGCAUGCAUCUUAGGCAAAUCCGGGGUGCUCUAUGCUGAGAUCUGAUAGCAAGCUGUACUUGUACAGCGAAGUGGCUGAUACCAUGCUUCCAGGAAAAGUCUCUAAGCUUCAGUUACACAGGAAUCGUACCCGAAACCGACACAGGUGGUCAGGUCGAGUAGACCAAGGCGCUUGAGAGAACUCUGCUGAAGGAACUAGGCAAAAUGGUACCGUAACUUCGGGAGAAGGUACGCUGCUGACGGUGAUGACCCUUGCGGUCUGAGCUAUUGGCAGCCACAGAAACCAGGCCGCUGCAACUGUUUAUUAAAAACAUAGCACUCUGCAAACACGAAAGUGGACGUAUAGGGUGUGAUGCCUGCCCGGUGCUGGAAGGUUAAUUGAUGGGGUUAGCGUAAGCGAAGCUCUUGAUCGAAGCCCCAGUAAACGGCGGCCGUAACUAUAACGGUCCUAAGGUAGCGAAAUUCCUUGUCGGGUAAGUUCCGACCUGCACGAAUGGCAUAAUGAUGGCGGCGCUGUCUCCAGCAGAGGCUCAGUGAAAUCGAAAUCGCUGUGAAGAUGCAGUGUACCCGCGGCUAGACGGAAAGACCCCGUGAACCUUUACUGCAGCUUGACAUUGAACUUUGACCUUACUUGUGUAGGAUAGGUGGGAGGCUUUGAAGUUGGAACGCUAGUUCCAAUGGAGCCGUCCUUGAAAUACCACCCUGGUAAUGUUGAGGUUCUAACUCUGCCCCGUAAUCCGGGGCGAGGACCAUGUCUGGUGGGUAGUUUGACUGGGGCGGUCUCCUCCUAAAGAGUAACGGAGGAGUACGAAGGUGCGCUCAGCGUGGUCGGAAAUCACGCGUAGAGUAUAAAGGCAAAAGCGCGCUUAACUGCGAGACCCACAAGUCGAGCAGGUACGAAAGUAGGUCUUAGUGAUCCGGUGGUUCUGUAUGGAAGGGCCAUCGCUCAACGGAUAAAAGGUACUCUGGGGAUAACAGGCUGAUACCGCCCAAGAGUUCAUAUCGACGGCGGUGUUUGGCACCUCGAUGUCGGCUCAUCUCAUCCUGGGGCUGAAGCAGGUCCCAAGGGUAUGGCUGUUCGCCAUUUAAAGAGGUACGCGAGCUGGGUUUAGAACGUCGUGAGACAGUUCGGUCCCUAUC
rnacentral:rRNA from 1 species